rnacentral:rRNA from 1 species
GUGUCAGCAGCCGCGGUAAUACGUAGGUGGCAAGCGUUGUCCGGAUUUAUUGGGUUUAAAGGGUGCGUAGGCGGCCCUGUAAGUCAGUGCUGAAAUACCCCGGCUUAACCGGGGGGGUGGCAUUGAUACUGCGGGGCUUGAGUACAGAUGAAGUAGGCGGAAUUGACGGUGUAGCGGUGAAAUGCAUAGAUAUCGUCAAGAACACCGAUAGCGUAGGCAGCUUACUAAGUUGUAACUGACGCUGAGGCACGAAAGUGUGGGGAUCAAACAGGAUUAGAUACCCCGGUAGUCC